UACGUAGGUGGCAAGCGUUGUCCGGAUUUACUGGGCGUAAAGAGCGCGCAGGCGGUCGUUCAAGUCGCGUGUGAAAGCCCCCGGCUCAACUGGGGAGGGUCACGCGAUACUGAUCGACUCGAAGGCAGGAGAGGGUAGUGGAAUUCCCGGUGUAGUGGUGAAAUGCGUAGAUAUCUGGAGGAACACCGGUGGCGAAGGCGGCAUCCUGGACCGAUAUUGACGCUGAGGCGCGAAAGCCAGGGGAGCAAACGGG
rnacentral:rRNA from 1 species